rnacentral:rRNA from 1 species
CUUGUCGGGUAAGUUCCGACCCGCACGAAAGGCGUAACGACUUGGGCGCUGUCUCAACGAGAGACCCGGUGAAAUUGUAGUACCCGUGAAGAUGCGGGUUACCCGCGACAGGACGGAAAGACCCCGUGGAGCUUUACUGCAGCCUGAUAUUGAAUUUUGGUACGAUCUGUACAGGAUAGGUGGGAGCCAGCGAAGCCGGACCGCCAGGUUCGGUGGAGGCAAUGGUGGGAUACCACCCUGAUCGUGCUGGAGUUCUAACCGACAUCCGUGAUCCGGAUGCGGGAGAGUGUCAGGUGGGCAGUUUGACUGGGGCGGUCGCCUCCUAAAAGGUAACGGAGGCGCCCCAAGGUUCCCUCAGCGCGGUUGGAAAUCGCGCACCAGAGUGCAAAGGCAGAAGGGAGCUUGACUGCGAGACCUACCAGUCGAGCAGGGACGAAAGUCGGGCUUAGUGAUCCGGUGGUUCCGAGUGGAAGGGCCAUCGCUCAACGGAUAAAAGCUACCCCGGGGAUAACAGGCUAAUCUCCCCCAAGAGUCCACAUCGACGGGGAGGUUUGGCAC